rnacentral:rRNA from 2 species
AAAUUGAAGAGUUUGAUCAUGGCUCAGAUUGAACGCUGGCGGCAGGCCUAACACAUGCAAGUCGAGCGGAAACGAGUUAUCUGAACCUUCGGGGAACGAUAACGGCGUCGAGCGGCGGACGGGUGAGUAAU